rnacentral:rRNA from 1 species
AAUUUCUGAUUCUUCAGACUUGUACUUUUUUUCAAAGAAAAUUAGCUACUGAGUUUGUGUAUCAUCAUUCUGGAGAUCGUAGCUGCCCUUGAUUGGGUUGGUUUCGCAAUUCAGUGCGUUUACUGUGAGCAAAUGGGAGUGUUCAAAGCAGGCUUUAUGCAUGCCUGAACCGUUUAGCAUGGAAUAAUGAAAUAUAACUCUUGUUUUAUUUUGUUGGCUUAUAUUAUUGGAGUAAUGAUCGAAAGGGAUAGUUGGGGGUGCUCAUAUUCAGGGGGUAGCGGUGAAAUGCGUUGAUCCUCUGAAGAUGAACUAAUGCGAAAGCAUU